UUUAUUUGAGAGUUUGAUCCUGGCUCAGGACGAACGCUGGCGGCGUGCCUAAUACAUGCAAGUUGAGCGCUGA
rnacentral:rRNA from 1 species